GAUGAACGCUAGCGGCAGGCCUAAUACAUGCAAGUCGAACGGUCCACUUCGGUGGAUAGUGGCGCACGGGUGCGUAACACGUAUGCAACCUACCUUACAUUGGGGGAUAGCCUUUCGAAAGGGAGAUUAAUACCGCAUAAGACAGUAACAUGGCAUCAUGUAGCUGUUAAAGAUUUAUCGAUGUAAGCUGGGCAUGCGUCCAAUUAGUUAGUUGGUGAGGUAAUGGCUCACCAAGACGAUGAUUGGUAGGGGAACUGAGAGGUCAAUCCCCCACACUGGCACUGAGAUACGGGCCAGACUCCUACGGGAGGCAACAGUAGGGAAUAUUGGGCAAUGGACGCAAGUCUGACCCAGCCAUGCCGCGUGCAGGAAGAAGGCGUUCUGCGUUGUAAACUGCUUUUAUAUAGGAAGAAACGACCCUUGCGAGGGGCAUUGACGGUAUUAUAUGAAUAAGCACCGGCUAACUCCGUGCCAGCCGCCGCCGUAACAC
rnacentral:rRNA from 1 species